rnacentral:rRNA from 1 species
UGGCGACCGGCGCACGGGUGAGUAACACGUAUCCACCUGCCGAUGACUCGGGGAUAGCCUUUCGAAAGAAAGAUUAAUACCCGAUGGCUCCGCAUGGUUAAAGAAUUUCGGUCAUCGAUGGGGAUGCGUUCCAUUAGGUUGUUGGCGGGGUAACGGCCCACCAAGCCUUCGAUGGAUAGGGGUUCUGAGAGGAAGGUCCCCCACAUUGGAACUGAGACACGAUCCAAACUUAUACGGGAGGCAGCAGUGAGGAAUAUUGGUCAAUGGACGAGAGUCUGAACCAGCCAAGUAGCGUGAAGGAUGACUGCCUAUGGGUUGUAAACUUCUUUUAUACGGGAAUAAGUGAGGCACGCGUGCCUUUUUGUAUGUACCGUAUGAAUAAGGAUCGGCUAACUCCGUGCCAGCAGCCGCGGUAAUACGGAGGAUCCGAGCGUUAUCCGGAUUUAUUGGGUUUAAAGGGAGCGUAGGCGGACGCUUAAGUCAGUUGUGAAAGUUUGCGGCUCAACCGUAAAAUUGCAGUUGAUACUGGGUGUCUUGAGUACAGUAGAGGCAGGCGGAAUUCGUGGUGUAGCGGUGAAAUGCUUAGAUAUCACGAAGAACUCCGAUUGCGAAGGCAGCCUGCUGGACUGUAACUGACGCUGAUGCUCGAAAGUGUGGGUAUCAAACAGGAUU